CUUGAGUUAAACUCCAGGGAGCGGCACCAAGGGAAGCAGAGGGGGGCAGGGACAGCAGUACCAGUACUAAGGAGGCUUCCACCUUGCAGUUAUGAUCAAGUAGUUUAAUAUGGGUUGAUGGAACACGUUCAUAUACAGAGACAAAAUCAUUGUCAAGGAACUCCUAGAAUCUUUGCUGGGGAAGAAAGAGGCAGAACAUCAGGGGAAAAUUGGAUCAGUUUGAUGACCAGGCCACAGAGUGAUGCACACGAUUCCAUUUCCCAAAGGAAGGGAGAAAGACCCAGCCACCCAGCAAGCACUGCAGAGCUAGUAGACCUCCCUGAGAUGAAGAACUGCUGAUAUCACUCCCUUCCUUAUCAGAUCAGACACCCUCUUGGGUGUCCAGAAGGAGGAAGAAAGUCCUGGUUACUCUGCAGAUGCAAUAAAGGCAACCGCCCUCCCUGGUAUGGAACAGAAACAAAUUCUGAAACUUCUAAAGUCGCUAUGCAAUUCUUAUCAUCCCAUCAACCCCUGAGCUUACUCAUAUCUUACUUCACCAUAGUAGCCUGGGCUACUAGUCUCACACCUCAUGAGAUCAUCAUGCACUUAAAAUGGAAAAGAGCAGUAGGAAGAAACCUUUUGAACAUACUUCCACUAUGAGUAAAAAGAUGUCUCUUUCAUCCUGAGGAAAAAAAUUCUGUGGAUGCUUCGAAGUGACCUAUGGCUAACAACCACUGAAAGAGUUCAGUUGUCAAUAUGUAGCAGAGGAACGAUGUAACUUUUUCAUAUUUUC